AAUAUUAGUUUCGUUUCAAGCGUC
rnacentral:snRNA from 1 species